GCAAUUGUAACUCAAUUGGUAGAGUGUAACCUUGCCAAGGUUAUUGUUGAAGGUUCAAAUCCUUUCAAUUGCU
rnacentral:tRNA from 1 species